GAAGUCUGUGCCAGCUGUGUUUGAUUUGUAAACAAAUUGGUUGAGGCAUAUCUUUUCCUUACUCGGUGAUAACGUUACAUCAUAAAACAACUUAUAUCAACUAAUGCCACUUUAUCUUGUUGGCUCGUUAUAUCAUAGUAAUGUGUUACUCUCAGUACCCAAGUUAAACUGGUGAAGUACAGUGAACCAUACUUAACUCACACAGUACCCAGAACACCAGUACGGGUCGAGCCGGGUCCACAGUGCCAACUACCACUACUGAAGUACAGCUCAGACCUCGUUAUUUAAUUGUACUUCUUUUUACUUUUAUUUUUUUAUGUAUAACAUUUAAAUAUGUACAUUUUGUAUGUAGGCUACAUAAAAACUUUCAAUAAAUAUUACUGCUGAACUAUUACUUCAUAACUUUUUGGUUUUACAAUUUAUGAUGCUUUACAAAAUUGUCUUAUCAGACAAGAUUCCACCUGCAAAGAAGAGCCAGCCUACACAAGUAUGCAAAGUAUGUAAAAAAAACCCAGGUGGUGUGCAGACUUCAGAGUACAACAUUGUAUACUAGUUUCAUUUAAAACAUGCCAACUACUAGGGUUUUAAAGCUAUGUAGUAGUUCUUUUAAUAUUUUUACAUAAUAUUCAAACCCAUGUAAUAAUUUUUAUUUUGAAAAUAAACUUCACCUGUA